rnacentral:rRNA from 1 species
CCUACGGGGGGCUGCAGUGGGGAAUAUUGGACAAUGGGGGGAACCCUGGUCCAGCCAUGCCGCGUGUGUGAAGAAGGCCCUCGGGUUGUAAAGCACUUUCAGUGAGGAAGAACGCCUGGUGGUUAAUACCCAUCAGGAAAGACAUCACUCACAGAAGAAGCACCGGCUAACUCCGUGCCAGCAGCCGCGGUAAUACGGAGGGUGCGAGCGUUAAUCGGAAUUACUGGGCGUAAAGCGCGCGUAGGUGGCUUGAUAAGCCGGUUGUGAAAGCCCCGGGCUCAACCUGGGAACGGCAUCCGGAACUGUCAAGCUAGAGUGCAGGAGAGGAAGGUAGAAUUCCCGGUGUAGCGGUGAAAUGCGUAGAGAUCGGGAGGAAUACCAGUGGCGAAGGCGGCCUUCUGGACUGACACUGACACUGAGGUGCGAAAGCGUGGGUAGCAAACAGGAUUAGAUACCCGAGUAGUC